GUAUUAGAGGCAUUGCCUGCCCAGUGACUAAAGUUAAACGGCCGCGGUAUCCUGACCGUGCAAAGGUAGCAUAAUCACUUGUUCCUUAAUUAGGGACUAGAAUGAAUGGCUAAACGAGGGUUCAACUGUCUCUUACUUUCAAUCAGUGAAAUUGACCUUCCAGUGAAGAGGCUGGAAUCUCCCAAUAAGACGAGAAGACCCUAUGGAGCUUUAAUUUACUAGUUCAACUUAUAUAAAAACAACCUAAUGGGCUAAAACAAAAUAAAUAUGAACUAAAAAAUUUCGGUUGGGGUGACCUCGGAGAAUAAAAAAUCCUCCGAAUGAUUUUAACCUAGACUCACAAGUCAAAGUAAUACUAAUAUCUUAUUGACCCAAUUAUUGAUCAACGGACCAAGUUACCCUAGGGAUAACAGCGCAAUCCUAUUUAAGAGUUCAUAUCGACAAUUAGGGUUUACGACCUCGAUGUUGGAUCAGGACAUCCCAAUGGUGCAGAAGCUAUUAAUGGUUCGUUUGUUCAACGAUUAAAGUCCUACGUGAUCUGUUUUUUUAA
rnacentral:rRNA from 1 species